rnacentral:rRNA from 1 species
UGAGCAAUCUGCCCUUCUCUUUUGGAAUAAAGCGUUGGAAACGACGUCUAAUGCCGAAUACGACCUCCUUUCGCAUGAUCGGAGGUGGAAAGCUCCGGCGGAGAAGGAUGAGCUCGCGGCCUAUCAGCUAGUUGGUGUGGGUAAUGGCCCACCAAGGCGACGACGGGCAGCCGGCCUGAGAGGGUCGACCGGCCACACGUGGGACUGAGACACGGCCCAGACCUCCGUACGGGAGCAG